rnacentral:rRNA from 1 species
AUGUACUUAGCUAGCGCUACAAGACCAGAUAUCUCUUUUGCUGUGAGCAAACUGAGUAGGUUCAUGUCCAACCCGGGUGAUGAUCAUUGGCAUGCACUAGAAAGGGUCUUGCGCUAUCUGAGAGGUACUAUGAGUUACGGAAUUACUUAUUCAGGGCAUCCUGCUGUGCUAGAAGGAUAUAGUGAUUCAAAUUGGAUCUCCGAUGUUGAUGUACUUUACGCAACAAGUGGGUAUGUAUUUACUCAUGGUGGUGGCGCAGUGUCAUGGAGGUCUUGCAAGCAAACCAUAUUGACGAGGUCAACUAUGGAAGCAGAAUUAACUGCUUUGGACACAGCUACUGUUGAGGCAGAAUGGCUGCGUGAGCUCUUGAUGGACUUGCCGGUUGUUGAAAAACCUGUACCGGCUAUUCUUAUGAAUUGUGAUAACCAAACGGUUAAAGCUAAAGUGAACAAUUCUAAAGAUAAUGCAAAGUCAUCAAGACACGUGAAAAGACGUUUGAAGUCUGUCAGGAAGUUGAGAAACUCCGGAGUAAUAACUGUUACGUAUAUACAAACAGACAAAAACCUGGCAGAUCCCUUUACAAAGGGACUAUCACGAAAUGUGAUAGAUAUUGCAUCGAGGGAGAUGGGUAUGAGACCCAUAGCAGUCUUGAAAGAACACACCUAUAUGAGUUCUGACUGUAAACAUCGCAGUCUAUGA